rnacentral:lncRNA from 1 species
UUGCUUUAAAAGUGGUCAUGAAAUUGACAGAAGGAAGAAUGAGGUUCCCUUCCCUUUUUUGAUACUUUCAUUCCAUUAGCACCAUAUUUUUUCUCUGGAAUGCUUUAUUUAGUACUAUGCAUACGUCAGUUUACUGUGGAAAAAAAAAUGCUGUCUCUUUCCUUUUUCCCUCUUCACUAAAUAGAAAAUGUUGAUUGAAGAAGAUAGAAAAUUUUCAAGUACAUAUUUCCAGCUUUCUUUUCACUUCUCUUGUUGGGCCAUUAUUCCUAGCUGUGAUUUCUUCAGCAUCAUCCACUGUUAUUAUCUUCAGUAAUCCUGGACCCAGCAUGUAACGACCCGCACCCAACCAUAUAGAUAUUGUCCGCUUUGGGCCCAAGGGGGCCCUCACGGCUUUAAAACGCGUCUACUUGGUUAAGAGGAGCCUCUACAUAUAUAGCGCCAGGAACAUUCUCCCCUAUCCGAUGUGGGACAUCACAAACACCCCCCCAUGCAGACACAACGUCCUCGUUGUGUCCCAUGGGAUUGCGGGGCCAAACAGACAAAGCCAAACAAACCCCCACACCGGGGUCGGGGAUCGGCUCUGAUACCAUUUGUAACGACCCGCACCCAACCAUGUAGAUAUUGUCCGCUUUGGGCCCAAGGGGGCCCUCACGGCUUUAAAACGCGUCUACUUGGUUAAGAGGAGCCUCUACAUAUAUAGCGCCAGAAACAUUCUCCCCUAUCCGAUGUGGGACAUCACACAGCAGCUGCAGCAUUCUUCAAGCAUAUCUGUCUCAUGAAGGGCUCCACCCUCGCCUUUCCUGACUGCAACUGCUUCAAAAGUAGUUGAAUAUUUGGCAUGUUUUUCUCAAGAUUCUUCCCACUGAAAAC